GACGAACGCUGGCGGCGUGCUUAACACAUGCAAGUCGAACGGAAAGGCCCUGCUUGCAGGGUACUCGAGUGGCGAACGGGUGAGUAACACGUGGGUGAUCUGCCCUGCACUUCGGGAUAAGCCUGGGAAACUGGGUCUAAUACCGGAUAGGAGCCAUUUUUAGUGUGAUGGUUGGAAAGUUUUUUCGGUGUAGGAUGAGCUCGCGGCCUAUCAGCUUGUUGGUGGGGUAAUGGCCUACCAAGGCGGCGACGGGUAGCCGGCCUGAGAGGGUGGACGGCCACAUUGGGACUGACAUACGGCCCAGACUCCUACGGGAGGCAGCAGUGGGGAAUAUUGCACAAUGGGCGCAAGCCUGAUGCAGCGACGCCGCGUGGGGGAUGACGGCCUUCGGGUUGUAAACUCCUUUCGCUAGGGACGAAGCUUUUUGUGACGGUACCUAGAUAAGAAGCACCGGCUAACUACGUG
rnacentral:rRNA from 1 species